rnacentral:rRNA from 1 species
GAUGAACGCUGGCGGCGUGCCUAAUACAUGCAAGUCGAGCGAACGGACGAGAAGCUUGCUUUUCUGAUGUUAGCGGCGGACGGGUGAGUAACACGUGUAUACCCUACCUAUAAUACUGGUAUAACUUCGGGAAACCGGAGCUAAUACCGUAUAAUAUUUUGAACCGCAUUGUUCAAAAGUGAAAUACGGUCUUGCUGUCACUUAUAGAUGGAUCCGCGCUGCAUUAGCUAGUUGGUAAGGUAACGGCUUACCAAGGCAACGAUGCAUAGCCGAAGUGAGAGGGUGGUCGGCCGCCCUGGAACUUGAACGGGGUCCUGGGGCCUGAGGGAGGGAGCAGUCGCGAACGUUACGCAGAGGGCGAAAGCAUGGCGGAGUAAGGCCGAGUGAGUUACGAAGGUCUCCGGUUCGUGAAAAUCUGUUAUUAGGGGAAAACAUAUGUGGAAGGAAAUGUGCACAUCGUGACGGUACCUAAUAAAAAAGCCACGGCUAACUACGUG